CGUAGGCUCUGGGUCACCUCCCACCCGUGUUUAUUUUACCUUGUUGCUUCGGCGGGCCCGCCUUAACUGGCCGCCGGGGGGCUUACGCCCCCGGGCCCGCGCCCGCCGAAGACACCCUCGAACUCUGUCUGAAGAUUGAAGUCUGAGUGAAAAUAUAAAUUAUUUAAAACUUUCAACAACGGAUCUCUUGGUUCCGGCAUCGAUGAAGAACGCAGCGAAAUGCGAUACGUAAUGUGAAUUGCAAAUUCAGUGAAUCAUCGAGUCUUUGAACGCACAUUGCGCCCCCUGGUAUUCCGGGGGGCAUGCCUGUCCGAGCGUCAUUGCUGCCCUCAAGCCCGGCUUGUGUGUUGGGCCCCGUCCCCCGAUCUCCGGGGGACGGGCCCGAAAGGCAGCGGCGGCACCGCGUCCGGUCCUCGAGCGUAUGGGGCUUUGUCACCCGCUCUGUAGGCCCGGCCGGCGCUUGCCGAUCAACCCAAAUUUUUAUCCAGGUUGACCUCGGAUCAGGUAGGGAUACCCGCUGAACUUAAGCAUAUCAAUAA
rnacentral:rRNA from 1 species